GACGAACGCUGGCGGCGUGCUUAACACAUGCAAGUCGAACGGAAAGGCCCUGCUUUUGUGGGGUGGUCGAGUGGCGAACGGGUGAGUAACACGUGAGUAACCUGCCCUUGACUUUGGGAUAACUCCAGGAAACGGGGGCUAAUACCGGAUAUGAGCUCGUGCUGCAUGGUGGGGGUUGGAAAGUGUCGGCGGUUGGGGAUGGACUCGCGGCUUAUCAGCUUGUUGGUGGGGUAGUGGCUUACCAAGGCUUUGACGGGUAGCCGGCCUGGGAGGGUGACCGGCCAGAUUGGGACUGAGAUACGGCGCAGACUCCUACGGGGGGCAGCAGUGGGGAAGAUUGCACAAUGGGCCGAAGCCGGAUGCAGCAACGCCGCGUGCGGGAUGACGUCCUUCUGGUUGGAAACCGCUUUCGCCGGUGACGUAGCGGUAGUGACGGUAAUGGGUAAAGAAGCACCGGCUAACUACGUG
rnacentral:rRNA from 1 species